GAGUUGUAUGAAAGGAGAGAAGGUUAGCACUCGCCUUGACAAGGAUGGAAGAGGCUCUUGGGCCUAAUAACACAUACGGUUGAGGCAUUGCCACCUACUUUGUGGCAUCUAACCACUUUUUAU